UACGGAGGGAGCUAGCGUUGUUCGGAAUUACUGGGCGUAAAGCGCGCGUAGGCGGCUUUUUAAGUCAGGGGUGAAAUCCCGGGGCUCAACCCCGGAACUGCCCUUGAAACUGGAGAGCUAGAAUCCUGGAGAGGCGAGUGGAAUUCCGAGUGUAGAGGUGAAAUUCGUAGAUAUUCGGAAGAACACCAGUGGCGAAGGCGACUCGCUGGACAGGUAUUGACGCUGAGGUGCGAAAGCGUGGGGAGCAAACAGG
rnacentral:rRNA from 1 species